CCUACGGGAGGCAGCAGUGAGGAAUAUUGGUCAAUGGACGGAAGUCUGAACCAGCCAUGCCGCGUGCAGGAUGACGGCUCUCUGAGUUGUAAACUGCUUUUGUACGAGAAUAAUCGUUCUUACGUGUCUGGAUUUGAAUGUCUCGUACGAAUAAGGAUCGGCUAACUCCGUGCCAGCAGCCGCGGUAAUACGGAGGAUUCGAGCGUUAUACGGAUUUAUUGGGUGUAAAGGGUGCGUAGGCGGUGGGAUAAGUUAGAGGUCAAAUGUCGUGGCUUAACCCCGUGCCUGCGUCUGAUACUGUUAGACUAGAGAGCGGAUGCAGCAGGCGGAAUGAGUAGUGUAGCGGUGAAAUGCUUAGAUAUUACUCAGAACACCGAUGGCGCAGGCAGCUUGCUAAGCCGCAUCUGACGCUGAUGCACGAAAGCGUGGGUAGCGAACAGGAUUAGAUACCCGAGUAGUC
rnacentral:rRNA from 1 species